rnacentral:rRNA from 1 species
UACGGGGGGUGCGAGCGUUGUCCGGAAUCACUGGGCGUAAAGGGCGCGUAGGUGGCCUGAUAAGGGUGUGGUGAAAGUCCGGGGCUCAACCCCGGAUCUGCCGUGCCGACUGUCAGGCUAGAGUACUGUAGGGGCAGGCGGAAUUCCGGGUGUAGCGGUGAAAUGCGUAGAUAUCCGGAGGAACACCGGUGGCGAAGGCGGCUUCCUGGACCGACACUGACGCUGAGGCGCGAAAGCUAGGGGAGCAAACGGG